rnacentral:rRNA from 1 species
UGGGGAAUAUUGGACAAUGGGCGCAAGCCUGAUCCAGCCAUGCCGCGUGAGUGAUGAAGGCCCUAGGGUUGUAAAGCUCUUUCACCGAUGAAGAUAAUGACGGUAGUCGGAGAAGAAGCCCCGGCUAACUUCGUGCCAGCAGCCGCGGUAAUACGAAGGGGGCUAGCGUUGUUCGGAAUUACUGGGCGUAAAGCGCACGUAGGCGGAUAUUUAAGUCAGGGGUGAAAUCCCAGAGCUCAACUCUGGAACUGCCUUUGAUACUGGGUAUCUUGAGUAUGGAAGAGGUAAGUGGAAUUCCGAGUGUAGAGGUGAAAUUCGUAGAUAUUCGGAGGAACACCAGUGGCGAAGGCGGCUUACUGGUCCAUUACUGACGCUGAGGUGCGAAAGCGUGGGGAGCAAACAGGAUUAGAUACCCCUGUAGUCC